CGGGGUUAUGUAGCUUGCUAUGUAACCUAGUGGCGGACGGGUGAGUAAUAUAUAGGAGGUAUGUCUUAUUGUGGGGGACACGUAUGGAAACGUACGCUAAUACCGCAUAAGAUUGAAGAAUGAAAGCGGGGGCUCGAAAGACCUCGCGCCGUAAGAUGAGCCUAUAUCGGAUUAGCUAGUUGGUGGGGUAAGAGCCUACCAAGGCGACGAUCCGUAGCUGGUUUGAGAGAAUGAUCAGCCACAUCGGGACUGAGACACGGCCCGAACUCCUACGGGAGGCAGCAGUGGGGAAUAUUGGACAAUGGGGGGAACCCUGAUCCAGCAAUGCCGCGUGUGUGAAGAAGGCCUUCGGGUUGUAAAGCACUUUUAUUAGUGAAGAACGGUGCAUGGUUAAUACCCAUGCAAUUGACAUUAGCUAAGGAAAAAGCACCGGCUAACUCCGUGCCAGCAGCCGCGGUAAUACGGAGGGUGCAAGCGUUAUUCGGAAUGACUGGGCGUAAAGCGCACGCAGGUGGUUUUAUAAGUCAGGUGUGAAAUCCCUGGGCUCAACCUAGAAUUGCAUUUGAAACCGUAAGACUAGAGUAUGUCAGAGGAAGGCGGAAUUUCCAGUGUAGCAGUGAAAUGCGUAGAUAUUGGAAGGAACACCGAUGGCGAAGGCAGCCUUCUGGGGCAAUACUGACACUCAUGUGCGAAAGCGUGGGUAGCAAACAGGAUUAGAUACCCCUGGUAGUCCACGCUCCCUAAACGAUUAACGAGGUGUUGGGUAGAAAUACUCGGUACCGA
rnacentral:rRNA from 1 species